CAUUGCUCGCGUGUGGUGUGCUUGAGAGAGUCCGCGAGAAAGAAAAGGGGACUGGCCGCUGGGGAGCCGGUUUUCCUGCAUUGCACAGAAUGGAGCUGCUGUCCCGCUGUCCCCGUGCACUGGAUUCCCUACUCCUUGGAGCACAGCCAGCAGGGCCCCACUCCUGUGAAGUUCCACUGGAGACUAUAUAGGACCUUCACUGCUCACCUGGCCUAGGAAGGCUCUUUCCACAAGGCAGUGCUUCCCUUUUGCUGCUUCGAGUGUACCUGAAGUUCAGUUCCAG